UGGGGAAUCUUGCGCAAUGGGCGAAAGCCUGACGCAGCGACACCGCGUGAGGGAUGAAGGCCCUCGGGUUGUAAACCUCUUUCGGCAGGGACGAAGCGAAAGUGACGGUACCUGCAGAAGAAGCCCCGGCUAACUACGUGCCAGCAGCCGCGGUAAGACGUAGGGGGCGAGCGUUGUCCGGAUUCAUUGGGCGUAAAGAGCGCGUAGGCGGCCCGGAAAGUGGGGUGUGAAAACCCGAGGCUCAACCUCGGGCGUGCAUUCCAAACUCCCGGGCUCGAGGCAGGUAGGGGAGAUCGGAAUUCCUGGUGUAGCGGUGAAAUGCGCAGAUAUCAGGAGGAACACCGGUGGCGAAGGCGGAUCUCUGGGCCUGUUCUGACGCUGAGGCGCGAAAGCUAGGGGAGCGAACAGGAUUAGAUACCCCGGUAGUCC
rnacentral:rRNA from 1 species